rfam:Triticum aestivum genome assembly, contig: Triticum_aestivum_CS42_TGACv1_scaffold_576986_7BL
AUACUACUCCCUCCGUCCGGAAAUACUUGUCAUCAAAAUGAAUAAAAGGGAAUGUAUCUAGACGUAUUUUAGUUUUAGAUACAUCCCUUCUUGUCCAUUUUGAUGACAAGUAUUUUCGGACGGAGGGAGUACCUA